rnacentral:rRNA from 1 species
AAUAAUAUAAUUUAAUUCUAUUUAGUAUUAAUAUGUAGGUAAUUAAUAAAUUUUUAGGGGAAAUUUAUUAGGUGAAAUUUUAAUUUUUAAAGGAAUUUAAGAUUGAUUAUUAUUUGAGAAAUUUAAUAAUAGACUAGGAUUAGAUACCCUAUUAUUUUAAAUGUAAAUUUAUACUAGAUUAGUAAUAGUUAGGUUCUUUAAAAUUAAAGAUUUUGGCGGUUUUUUAGUCUAUUCAGAGGAACCUGUUUUGUAAUCGAUAAUCCACGAUUAAAAUAUCUUUUUUUAUUAGUUUGUAUAUCGUCGUAAAUUGGGGAUAUUUUAAAAGAAUAAUAAUAUUCGGAAAAUAUUUUUUAUUAUACAUCAGAUCAAGGUAUAGCUUAUAAAAAAGUAAUAAUGGGUUACAUUUAUUUAAAUAAGGAAAAAUUUGUUGAAAAUAAAUUAGAAUUUGGAUUUGAAAGUAAUUUUAUCGAUAUAGAUAUAAUGAUUAUAGCUCUAAAAUAUGCACAUAUCGCCCGUCGCUUUCAUUUUUAAGGUGAAAUAAGUCGUAACAAAGUAGUCUUACUGGAAAGUGGGUCUAGAUUGAUAUCAAGUUAGAGCUUGAUAUAAGCGUUUUAUUUACACUAAAAAGUUAAUUGUGUAAUUCAAUUUUUCUUGAAAAUAGAAUAUUAUUUUUAUAGAAUAAAUUUAUUGAGAUUUUAAGAAAAAUAAUUUUUUUUAAGUAAAUUAAAAGAAAGGGGUUGAUAAGUAAAUUAUGAUAGUUGAUUAGUAUUGUGAAAGAAAUUUUAAUUUUUGAUAAAGAAUAAAUUAUUUUU